GCAAGGAGCGACCAGAGCCGCCCCAAAGGCCGCACUGGGCCGUUCUUCCCUGAGGGCCUGACUCUCCUGAAACCUCACACCCAGCCGCGGGCCCUAGUGGUGUCAGAGAUGUCCAGGAGCACUCUGUGAGGAAGUGGGGACGCAAACAGCGAACGGGAGUGCAUGAGCAGGAAGCUGGAUCAAAAAUGGAAGAGACAGGACUUGAAUCAGGCACUCUGAUGGCGGAUGUGGGCAUCCCAAGCGGUGAAUCAAGGUGUAACUCUUGGAGGGAAAGCCUGCACAUGGCUAGACACAUGCACAUGGAUGAUUUGGAUAGAGGCCAAGGGGAGUCUAUAAGCUGGCUCUACCUGUACAAUGUCCACACAGUGGCAACAUCCCUGCAGUGAGAUCCCAUCAUCUUCCCCGGUCCAGCCUGCCUGCCUACAUUCAAAGGGGGAGAGAAUUACACACAGGCAUGGACAACGAGCACUGGGAUGGAGGAACAUGCAGACUGCAUCGUCCUAACGCGCCGCCUGGAGAUGCGGACCCUCUGUCCAGACUCUCUCUGGAACAGUUUUAGACUUUUCAGCAGGAAGAUUUCAAAAGGCAAGUGACAAUUUUAUUUAUUAUUCUUGGGGGGAAAAAUGAACAUUUGCGGCAAGCUAUUCAGACUGUUUCGGAAAUACUUUGCAAUUUCUGUUUUACCACCACCACCCCAAUAGCUUGAUAAUGUUUAGAUUUUUUUUUUCAAAAAAAUUCCCAUUGUCUUUGUGAGCAAAACAAACCAGCUUCUCAUAAAUAACCGAAGUGAAGCAACAGAACGUUUGGCUCCAGUUCACUGUUCAGCCUGACGUGUCAGAAGGAGCCCGGAGCCAAAACACUCUCCAGAAACAGAAGCGUGGCCCCAGGAGACCCAGCAACACAAAUGAUGCAGAAACCCUUCUGGUGGGAACCCCCUGCACCAACGCUGGAAAGAGGACUCGCUCAGGGAAGCAGAUGUCAGCGUGCAGCCGAGACACAUCGACCAGCCCAGCCAUCUCCAGGCAUCCAGUGCCCUAGCAAGUCUGGGGGCUCAAGUCAGAACUGGAGACGUUGUGAAGUCAAUGAUGCUGUGCAGAAAAACCAGGCCCUUCGGUGCCAGGUUGACGGAUGCUGCUGUGACCUACCAGAGGGGCUUCCUCAUGUCCCUGUCUUCCUCUCCCUUCUCUGGAGCCCAUUCUUGCCCUGGUGACAGUUCUAGGUCCCGUCCACUCUUCACUAAUACAGAUCAUUAAAGAGUUGGUCUUGAGGCAGAUACUUCCAGGGGUAUUUGAAUUUUAAUAAGGGAUUGUAAGAGGUGGCAAAGCCUUGAAGAUAGCAGGGAACAGUUUGCUAAUAGUAAAAGGACCAGUGAAGAGGCUAUUUUUGCUCAGAGGCCCUACCAAUGUCCCCAAACUCAUCUCCUUUCAAACUGUGUGAUUCCUGCACAUUUUUGGUAUCGUGUUGACUUGGCUCAGACAUAGGCCACAAUGCUCCUAGGUUGUCACAUUUAACUGGCUGUGGAUAGCUGGAAGGAAGGCAUCAGCAUACACAGGACACAGUGUCUUCACACGAGACUCAAACCACCUGCCAUGUGUCUUCCGCUCUGUGUGCCCCAGAGAGAAUCAAUGCGAUCAUGGAUGACAGAGCCUCCUAAGAGUGGUCUCAGGGUGUGUCUUACAUGGCUGUCCCCUGCAGAGUCAGGGAGCAAAAGUGGGGCACAAAGAUGGGCUGGCUUUGAGACAGGUGCCUCCUUAUCAGCAGCAAUAGUUGAUUAGGCCUUUUCUGAAUGGAGCGAUACACAAACAUCCUGAGACAAUCCAUGGAAUAAAGCGGAACAAUGACCCCUUUUUUUCUUUUUCUUUUUUUUUUUUUUUGACAGGCAGAGUUAGACAGAGAGAGAGAGAGAGAGAAAGGUCUUACUUUUUGCAUUGGUUCACCCCACAAAUGGCUGCUAUGGCCAGCACGCUGGUCGAUCUGAAGCCAGGAGCCAGGUGCUUCCUCCUGGUCUCCCAUGCGGGUGCAGGGCCCAAGCACUUGGGCCACCGUCCAGUGCCUUCCCGGGCCACAGCAGAGAGCUGGACUGGAAGAGGAGCAACCAGGACAGAACCGGCACCCCAACCAGGACUAGAACCCGGUGUGCCGGCGCCGCAGGUGGAGGAUUAGCCUAGUGAGCCACGGCACCGGCCAACAAUGACCCCUUUGAUUGUUGUUCUGGGUUUCCACAGGUUCACCUCUUUCUUAUGCCUUGGUUUCUCGUUUAUCGGACCUGACAAUGAAAAUAAGAGCAGGUCUUCCCUAGGCAGGAACGCAGCAAACAAGAGGCAGCAAAGGGGAAGUUGCUGGAGACAUGCCUGAACAAGGGGCAGAAGUCCUUUCUGCAAUUGGAUAUAUUCAAAGUUGGAAUCACCAGUUCACUCAGGUCAAUCAACUAAUAUCUACAGAUAAACACACAAGUUAUAAAGAAUAGGAAACAGAUGAAUACUCAUGAAACUGCCACCCAACUAAAAAUAAAAGCAUUAGCCCUGCACUCCAUCCUCGGAGCUCUUCCUCGGUGAGGCCCCUCUCCUUCCCAGCCCCUCGACCCACGGCAAGUAACCACUCUCUGAAGGCUUAUUUUAUUUCAUUAAAAUCAUUUUAAUUUACUUUUAAAAUUUUAUUUGAAAGACAGAGGGACACCCAUGGAGAGAGAGAGAAUUUGCACUCCACAGAUGCCUGCAAAAGCCAGGGCUGUGCCCGGUGGAAGCCAGGAGCCCAUCCAGGUCUCCCACACGGGUGGAAGGAACCCUAGUAUUUUGGCCAUCCUCCACUGCCUCCCAUCUCGCAGGGCGUGCAAUAGCAGGAAGCUGGAUCGGAAGCAGAACUGCCAGGAUUGGAACCCAGGUACUCCAACACUGGAAGCAGACUUCCCAACCGGCAACUCUACAGCUGCACCAUGCACGCCCACCCUCUUUUUUUUAAAACAAAAUUCUUUAUUUCAAUUUUGAAAACCACAAUUUUAUUACAUAUUCACCAAUCACAUAUUACUUUAGUUUGGCUUUUUUUUUUUUUUUUUGACUCCAUACAAAUGCUAUCCCAUUCAUUUCCUCUUCUGUGCCUUGCUGUUUUUACACAUUGUUUUCUAGUUGUGAUUCGAUACAUUUUGUGCUAGCAGGUUUGGUUUGUUAUUCAUUCUCAUUCCAUCUUAGUCCACUUCGUGACCAUACCAGAAUGCAAUCACCUCUUUUCUUAUUGAUGGAGCAGCUUUAGGUUUCAAAUUGCUUUUCUUUUUUUUCUUUCUUUCUUUCUUUUUUUUUUUUUUGACAGGCAGAGUGGACAGUGAGAGAAAGAGACAGAGAGAAAGGUCUUCCUUCCGUUGGUUCACCCUCCAAUGGCCGCUGCGGCUGACGCACUGCAGCCAGCGCACCGCGCUGAUCUGAAGGCAGGAGCCAGGUGCUUAUCCUGGUCUCCCAUGCUUUCAGCAUAGGAGUCGGAGUGGAGGUUGUGUCCAGCUCGAGCUGCUGUAACAAAACAUCCUAAACUAGGUGACGUGUGAAUAGCAGAAGCUUAUUCCUCACAGUUUUGCAGGCUGUAAGUCCGAUCGGGGGCCAGCACUGUUGGCGUCUGGCGAGGCUACCUUCUGGGUUGUGGACUGCUGUGUUCUCCGUGUGUCCUCACAGGGCAGACAGCAGGUAAGAGAGCUCUCUGGGUCCUUUUUUUUUUUUUUUUUUAAAGAUUUGCUUAUUUGUUUAUUCAGAGUUACACAGAGAGAGAAGGAGAGACAGAGAGAGAGAGAAAGAGAGGAAGAGAGGUCUUCCAUCUGCUGGCUCACUCUCCAAAUAGCCACAACGCCCGGAGCUGCACUGAUCCGAAGCCAGGAGCCAGGAGCUUCUUCCAGGUCUCCCACGUGAGUGCAGGGGCCCAAGGACUUGGGCCAUCUUCUACUGCUUUUCCAGGCCAUAGCAGAGAGCUGGAUCAGAAGUGGCAGCUGGGUCUCGAACCAGCGUCUAUAUGGGAUGCUGGCACUGCAGGCGGCGGCUUAACCCGCUACGCCACAGUGCCCGCCCCUGGGUCCUUUUUUAAGGACACUGAUUCCUUUCAUGAGGACUUCACCCACCAUCUGGAGAAGGCCCCACCUGCCAAUACCAUCCUGUUGGGAGUUAGGCUUUCGGCGUAUGAAUUUUUCGGAGGCAUAAACACAUUCAGUCUGUAGCAGUGGUGUUAUUCCAACAGGGGUAAGGGCAAAGCAUUGUUAACUAGGUCUAGGUGACUGGGCAGGAGAAUGGAAGGAAGGGAUUGGAGGGGAGUGGCACGGUCAUAUCUGUUUUCUUAAAAAAAGAUUGCUGCGGCUGGGGUGAUGAG